GAUGACGGGCCCGGAGGAUGGCGCGGUGUCGGAGUGGCCGUGAGGGGGACACGGAGGAGAGAGCUCAGGAUGUCGGCUCGGGAUGGCAGGGCAGCGUGUCUCUUUCUACCACUCCCUGGCAGGAGGCUGUAGCCUGACCUGAGGGUCGGGCUCUGCCCCCAGGGAACAACGACGGGAUGAGAGCACAAAGGCUUAACCUGCACCAGAGGAGGUUUAAGUCCGGCAUCAGGAGGAAUUUCUUCACAGAAAGGGUGAUUAGAUGUUGGAAGGGGCUGCCCAGGAGGUGGUGGAGUCCCUGUUCCUGGUGCUGUCCAAGAAAUGACUGGAAGUGGCACUCAGCUGGGCUGGGUAACAAGGUUUUGUCAAGGAUUCUGUACUGCUUUUCCCAAAUCAUCCAGUAUUAGUUCCAGGACUGAGUGACUACACUUUGAGUGGUGGAAUUUCCAGUUACCUGAUCAUCCUUCACUGCCUUGUAGUCACAGCACAAGCCACAACACCAGUGGAGCUGCCUGGGUCCUGAUGAACUCAGCUGGAUGGAUAUCCCAGAAGACAGGUGCCAUCACAUGAAGGCUUUGUGGAUGGUUUUCUAAAGAUGCUGUUUCACCUCAGAAGCACCAACCAGAGCAGUCCAAGGACAUGUGCAUUGAGCUAGUGGAUAAUUUUAUGCCAGAAGACUUCCACAGCAGAACAUGAAGUCUUGACUGGGGAAGGAAGGUGUUGCCCCAAAAUGAGAGCAUAAAAUGGAACUAAGCCAUGAAGAAUUUAAAUGUAAAAUAUUAAUGCAGUUAAGUAAGAGCAUCUCUGGAAUAUGAAGAAAUGCUAAUGGCAGAUUGGUGGCAGACGGGGAGCAGGGACAAGCUUUCAGGCUGAGUCUAGAGACCUUUCUUUUCUGUGUUAAGGAUACUCUGCAAUUGCUGCUGUUGUUUCCUCCAGCAGGAAAGUGGAACUUUAUCUACCCUGGGAAAUCUUUGAAAUGUGUGGAAAGCAAAUGAGAACAAUUCUGCCUUGCAAGCAGACACGAUGAGGAUCUGCGCAGUCUGUGUUAAGCCCUGAGUGAAAGACACAGCUCAGUUAUCAGCUGAGACAGCCCCGAGGCUCCCAGCAGCUGUAAGAUCCAUGGCAGUAAGGAUUAAAGUCUUUCAGAAUGCCAUUGGAAAAGGAAUGGGGAGAGCAGGCAAGAAAAUAGGUAAUGGUGAGAAGAAGAACAGCUCAGGAACAAGCAUAAAGCUAAGACUAUGGGCAGAAAGAUGGGACAACUGUGUUAAGGGACUUGGGGGUGCUCCUUAAAUAAGGGGAUUGGACACACUGGGCACAUAUACCAGUUGUUUGAUGUCCUACUCCCCCUUGUACUGAUAACACAUUGAAAGCUCUGGGGCUUAACUAUUGGCACCAGGGUCUUAACAGCUAAGUGUAUUUGAACAUCCUAAUUACAGGGAAUGGCAAUGGAAUUAGAGCUGAUUCCUCCCUGUUCCUCACUGGCUGGUUUGCCUGAUCCCAAGGCUGGGGUCAGGGCCUGUCUCUGCAUGGAGCUGGGAUUACCCAAAAAUCUCUUGUCUGUGUUGCAGGGAAGGGAAGUGAGGCAGAGCCUGGAGCUGCGCAGUGGCAAAACUUGAUGGAUUGCAGAUACCUGCAGGUGCCUCAGUGCUGUUAAGUAAUCUAGAGUGUGACAGAUUUGCUUCUAGAGUAGCACUGGUACAGCCAGGUCAUUCUUCAGGGUCAAACCUUUUAGUCCAAGGUUGCUCUAAAGAUUUCAGUGUUCUGAGCAGUUCUGAUUGAGCUGGGGCUCACUCAGAAGAAGCUGAGUGCUCUGCAGACAGCCCCCCUGUCAAUGCAGAGUGUCCUCUGCAGCAUUCCCAAAUCCCUGGAGCUGGGUGCUGCCUCCUAGCUGAUGUUGAAAUACCCAACUGCAGCAACCCAAGCAACAAAUCCUUCUGGGAAUGACACAGUUCUCCAGCUCUGGUGAUGAAAUUGCUUCCUGAGCUCUUACACAGGUAAGGAUUCUAUGACUUUGUGGAAGGUCGAGGAAUGACACAGAGCAUCAUAGGGAGCCAAACCAGGCACUUUAAAUAGGAGAAAGAUCCUCUGUGUUUCAAGCCCCAAACCCUGCCUUGGCUGGCUUCCACACACACAGUCAGUCCUCUGCCUGCUCCUCAGGAGGGUAAAUUUGGCCAGGACCUCUGGAAAGGACUUCUCACUGUAUCUGAGGUUUUGCUCUUUCCUUGUUUAGAAGGAAUUAAUCUAUUUAUAGGCAUGAUCAGGUUCUUCCUCUCUGUCCUUCCCUUAGCAUUAAGCAAUGAAAAUCCUGGUCUUACCUGUGGAUGCAGGAAUGCCACAGUUAAUUUUGGUAUGCUCUGUUAUUUAUUGAGUCCCAGACCCCCUGUGUCUCCUUGUUUGUCCUUGUAUUAAUUAAGUACAAGUUUACAUCUACAGCAGUGAACUGCAGCAGCACAGCACUUGGUAAGUGAAGAGCAAGUCCUGGACUGUUCCAGCAUACUGGGAUAACUGGGCUUCUAGCUGUCAGGAGGGGAAGCUUAAGCAGUUCCUGUAGGACACUCAGCCCCUGGGCUCUCUGGAAAUGGGGGUCCUGGUUUCUCUUGGAUGACUGUACAAAGAUCUAUCUGCAGGUUUGGAUUGGGGUUCUGCAGAGCCCAGAAUGAUGAAGGCUGUCUAGAAACCAUUAAUAAAGAUCAGAACUUGAUGGCAUCAAUAACUCCCUUUGGGCUUCUUGCAGGCUGAGAUAGAGGCAGAUUGUCAAAAUUACUUAACGUCCUGGAACACCACCCAUUCCAGUAUGAAUAGGUUUCUUGUGUACAACUCACAUGAUCCUGGUGUUUUCCUGGUGUCUCUAUGGAGACUGGAGACAUUCUUCUGGUCUAUUGGUUGGGAAUCUUUGCUGCUUUCAGGUAAAUUGUCUUGUAGAAAUAACGAAAGCAGAGAUAAUCCUCUGAAUAAUGAAUAAAGCAUCAGUCACAGAACACAAAAACAUCCUGGCUGUUUUAUAGAAGGAGUUGCAAAUAUUUUGAUUAUUCCUUUUUAACACACUACCAGCUUGGCAGAGAUUUAGCAAGACUUGUGCAAAAAUAAUUGGCCUUAGGCAAAGCUGGAUAAAGCAUUUACAUGUGGAUCCUCAUCCAAAUGAGGCUGGAGCAUGGAUUAAAGAGUGAAGUAGUGUUAGAUUUGGGAAGCCUUCCCUGCCAAAAAUUGGGGGUGUUUUUUCAAAGAUGUUCCAAUUCCAAACACUCUCAUUCUCAUGAGAUUAGAUACUUCCCUUCACAAUUGGCUCCAGUCCCUCCAGGAAAAAUUAGUUAAAUGAGAUUGUUGUUACUUUGGCCAUAUUAAAAUAGUUGUCUCUGUUUUCACUGGCAGCUAGGAGAGGAAAGCAAUGUGGGUAGGAGGAGGAUGAUGGUUGGGCACUUCUUCCCUUUAAGGGUGUACUUUCACAGCAGUGUGGAAUUCAUUGGAGAAAGGGGAAAAACACUGUUUAUUGUCCCAGGAAUAUUUGGGAUGACAAGUAGGGGACCAGGUACGUCUGUCUUGCCCAAACUGGACCCUCAGGUGGCACAGAAUGUUUCUUUGCAUUCCUGGUUGCCACUCCCAAGCUCCUUAGCCCUAGUUUAUAAGUCCAGAAUGUAGCCUCUUAGCUAUAGCCUGAAAAUUCCACUUGCUGAAAGAUGGGCUCUGUUCCUUGGCAUAGCCUCUGGUGUACGUGGUGUCUGUGCAACUCCCAAAAAAUCAGAGCUAUCCCAUAAAUAUCUCUCUAGAUGCCUUCAGUUCUGCCAGUGGGUCUGCCUCAGGAUUCAUAGUGACUGAUUCCUUCUGGUUUAGUUCCUUGGUGCCCUGUGUAGUGGCACAGCAAUGCCCUGGGAGCUCAUGGAAAUACUCCAACUCCAGUGCCAGAGUCUGGUUGCAGGGUUUUGGUAGGAACAGGUAGGAAGGAGAAGCUGUUCAGGUGUUGUGUGUCCUGCAAAGAGGUAACUUGGAAAAAAAUAACACACUGUCUCACAGCCCCCAGUGUGCUAUGGGGGAAAAAAUGAGGUCACAGAGGAAAAUUCUGGGAUUUAGAUUCUGCUGUGCAUGGAGAGGACGUGAUGGUGAGUGAGAUCUGGCUUCUGUCCCAAGCAUUAACAGAGGGAAACUUUGCCUCAGUUUCUCUGCAUGUAAAUCUGAGGCCAUAUCUAGGUCUCCUUUUUAAGAGGUUUUGCGAAUGUGUCAUGAACUUUACGGCUUGUGUGUUCUAAGCCUGCUAUCAGCACUGAUAAAAAUGGUUAUUAGCUGUACUAUUACUUUAAAUCAGAGCAUCUUAACUAAUUUGGGGACUGGCCAGUGGCUCCAGUCACAUGAUGAAUACCCUUAUACUCUAUUUCUAGAUGAUUCAAAGUUGGCUCUAGGCAAGGGAGAUUAGGUUUAGGGCUUGAGGCAGAGCAGGAAAUAAAACAAAGGUGUCCAAAUUGAUGGUUCAGCUUUCAGUAUAAUUUUAUUGAAGAAAGUAACUCAAGCUUUGGUUUAUUCUGAGCAUGUCAAGGACACCUUUGUAGUGUUGCUGCCCUAAGCCCAGAGCUGUCCAUUAAGGGACAAAACUGGAGCCAGGAAUGGUUUGUAACCACACAAAUGCUGCAGCAUCACAGUGGGGAGAUAGGGAGUAAGAGGGGAAUCAGUUGGACUCAGAGUGAGGUCUGGUGACACUCAAAGAGGUUGCAGACAGAUUUAGGGUGACAGGGAAAUAAUGUAAUUGAGGAUUUGAGACAGGCUCCAUAGCUUUGGGGACUGAAAAAAAAAAUAAAUUCUAAUGAAACUGCUGGACUUGGAGCAGUCAUAUUCCAUAGUCACUUAGACCAGGAGUGAAAUUUGGUUGUGAAGAUAAGCUGGGAGCAAAGAGCCCCCCUAAAGGUAAUGGGGGUAUGUGAGCUUGUGCAGUUGCUGCUCUGCAACUUCUGUUUCCUCGGCUGCUCAGAGGUAUCGUCAUCUGCAAAGGGGCCAAGGUAAAGCUCAGGAUCAACAAACACUUCAGUUUCUUUUCCGUCCUCUGCCUUUACAAGGCUUUCCAGGAGGCAGGGAGGAGACCCUGCUCAGAGGUGUCUUUCUCUCAAUGAGCAUUUCUGUCAGGGGAAUGCACAGGACUGAGGGGCUCACUUAGCCACCCAGCAGGUGGGUUUUCCUUCUAUGUACAUGUGUUGGAUGUUUUACACUCUCCCUGGCUUAAAAAAAAAAUCUUCCUGGGCAAUGCCUUUUUCUCUGGCAUGGGGCAGAUACUAGAAACUCACUUUAUUUAUGUGAGGCAGAUGCUGAGAUCUUUUACUCAAAGGGAUUUUUAUGCACCGAGACGCUCAUGCUGAGAGGACAAAGCCUCUGGAUUCCCUGGAGCAAAGCAUUGGCCCAAAUUGUGCCUUCCUCUUUCUAGCCACACAUUUGAUUUUUCUAUACUGGAUCCCAAUAUCAUGCUGAAAAAGGCAUACACUUGAGAUUAGAGCGUCAGUGUUUAACAGGAUUGAUUAUGUCUGCACAGAUCUGUUUUCAAAGAUGAUUGCAUUUCACUGGUAAAGGGACUUUUCCAGUGAUUAAAAAUGGUAAUGUCAGUGGCUUGUGAAAGGUAUCUUUGCCCUUUCGAUAUAGAAACCAGCAUUCAGACUAAGAGCCAAGUCACUUUCAGACUUUGGCACUUUAGUUCAUUCUGCCCAUUCUGUCAAAAUAAGUUUGCAUUUUAAAUUCUUGUGGAAACUGGAAGCAGAAAACCCAACAGACUUCUUCUCUUCAGGCAAACAAUUCUAGUGUGCUUGGCAAUGUACUAAUGCAGCAGCAAAGUGAUCACAACCAGCUGACUCCUAAGCGGAGCCAUUUGGGUACUACCUAAAUCCCAAAUCUACCUAAAUCACAAAUUUAGUAAUACAGCAACAACUUAAUUCCUCUUUCCUUAAUCACCGUCUCUCAUGGUAAUGUUUGUGCUGGGACUAAACAAGUCAACUCAAAAGUGCUUAAUCAUUUUCCCAAGGUGCACUGCACAUGUUGGGCUCUGGCACUGCACACAAAAGGCCUGGUAGCACAAAUUGACUCCAAAUUUAAACUAGUUGUCUCCAGAAACCCAAGUUUAGAGAGUGUGCUGCCAUAUCUCUUCUGAUUGAACACAACUGUCCUCCUGGACAAUCUAUUUCCAGCUCUCUGGUGCUGGGCUGACCUCCCUGCUUUUCCUUAGAAAUUACUUGUUACUGACUGACAGACUCACUACAGUUCUAUUUUCCUCAAUUCUGAUUGCAAAAAUGCUUUAGUCAGUAAAAUGGAGAAUUGUGUCCCUUGGAUUAACUCCCUCUUGGAAAAGGGCAGAAAUCCUGGUCCCUGGCUGUCCAGCUGCCAUUUGUGGCGUGCAGGUGCCAGCCUGGGGCACACAGACUGUCAAAUCUCCUGCCCUCCAAACCUUCCCGAAUGCGCCUUUCACUUCCCAGCCUCCCAUCCGAUCCCAGCUCUCAACCACAAGAGAAACCUCAGGGAGAAACACUUAUCAGCAAGGCUGUCCUACAUGGAAGAGUCCUGGGGCUCCAACAGCUGCUCGGGGUUUGAGUCCCCUUGGCAGAUGUUCGCUAUUCCAGCCAUUUCAUUAAUUUUGGAAACAAAACCCUGAUUAUUCCUGACCAAAGCACCCCCCUUUUGAUUGACAGCCAGUGUGUGUUUCAUCCAACAUAACUCACCGUAUUGCUCUGGCACUUAUUUAAAAAAAAAAUUCCAUUAAUAACAAGAAAUAAAGUUUCUAGAGAUGUGUUAGUGUGGGCUAAUCCCACCUGCCAGUUCAUCUGCUUGGGCUGAGGUGAAGGCAUCACAUUUCUAGAGUAUGGACAGAGGUGCCAGCCACACACCUCUGGAUAUUCAGCCCUCCAGAUGUGAGAAAGAAACAUUUAAAGACAAGCAGAGUCCCUUGUCCCAUGAGCUUGGAAAGCCCACGGUUUGCUUCCCCUCUUGAUUUCUGGGCUGGAUCUUGUCAAGCUCCUGAAAUACUCUUCAGGAAACAUUCUUCUGCUGUGUUGUGUCAGAUUUUUCAAAGGCAAGAAAAGCAGGAUAAUUUUGAAGUGGGGGUAGGGUAGGCUGCAGCUCCUGGCUGGACCCCGAGGAAACGUAAGUAGUAAAAUGCCAUUUGCUGCUGCUUUGGGGCUUAAAUCAGUGGCUUGCUCACUGUUGCUUCCAAAAUAUUCUUUGCAAUAAUUAUCAGCACGUACUAAUUGCUGAAGUUAAUGUUGCUGGUAAUUACUUUGUUUUCUAAAAAAAAAGAAAAAGACGUGUCUGAAAAAGACUAAGAAAAUAUGCUCCUAAAAUGGUUUAUGUCUGAAUGAAGAGGUGAGUACUCAUAAAACUACAGUCAUAACAAAAUCAGUCCAUCUGCUUAAAUAGCCGUAGUUUGUUUAGGAAUUAAAGCAGCAGUUUAAGUAAUUUAGAAAGAGUUAUAAUGCUGUGGAGGUGAGAAGUUCUUGAACUCCUUAGUUGUUAUCCUUCUCGGUAAAUUCCUCAUCGUAAGAUCACUUUAGUUUCUCAAAAUCAAAAUAAAUAAAACCAUUUCCAAACAAUUUAUUUUAAAUGAGAAUGUCAUCCCAAUGCUUUAAAAUUAGCAAAGCACUUUGCUUUACAUUUGUUUCAUUAUAAUUGCUGUACUAUAUUAAAAAAAAUGUAAUGAGGUUUUAAGAAAAAAAUUUCAAUGGCUAUAUCGAAAGUCUGAUAUAUUCUUGCAUCUGCCUUCCAGUUCAGUGUGUGGACAGUGCAAACAUCUUAUUUUGAUUUUGAGUUUCUAUAAAUGAACAACUGUAUUGCUGAAGACAAAUGAAACUUUGAAUUGAAAAAAGACGUAGUGCUUUUACAAAAGAGGUUAAAGAUAGUUUACAGUGUUUUGAAGGA